CCUACGGUGGGCAGCAGUGGGGAAUAUUGCACAAUGGGGGAAACCCUGAUGCAGCAACGCCGCGUGGGUGAAGGAGCGUUUCGGCGUGUAAAGCCCUGUCAGCGGGGAAGAAGAAAGACGGUACCCGACCAAGAAGCCCCGGCUAACUACGUGCCAGCAGCCGCGGUAAUACGUAGGGGGCGAGCGUUAGCCGGAAUUACUGGGUGUAAAGGGCGUGUAGCCGGGUUGACAAGUCAGAUGUGAAAUCCUGCGGCUUAACCGCAGAACUGCCUUUGAAACUGUUGAUCUUGAGUACUGGAGAGGCAGACGGAAUUCCUAGUGUAGCGGUGAAAUGCGUAGAUAUUAGGAGGAACACCAGUGGCGAAGGCGGUCUGCUGGACAGCAACUGACGGUGAGGCGCGAAAGCGUGGGGAGCAAACAGGAUUAGAUACCCUGGUAGUC
rnacentral:rRNA from 1 species